ensembl:rRNA 5S_rRNA 5S ribosomal RNA
GCCUACGGCCAUACCACCCUGAGAAUGCCUGAUCUCGUCUGAUCUCGGAAGCUAAGCAGGGUCGGGCCUGGUUAGUACUUGGAUGGGAGACCGCCUGGGAAUACCAGGUGCUGUAAGCU